rnacentral:misc_RNA from 1 species
AGCUCGUGAAGAAGAGGCCUCAGCAGGGCUGAACGGCUUCUGACGACAAUUGUGUGCAGCACCACAUAUCAGCUUUGAACGAGUGCUCCCGCCGGUCGUAUAGGCCCCAUGUUGACCCAUGCCUGCACAUCUUGGCGGCGCGUCUGUCUUCGAUUCGUGACACGACUCCUGGGUGUAAGAAUACAACCCACUGCGUGAACGUCUAGCGGCACAUCUGCAGCCUGGCGAAUAUCUGCUUGAAAGCCCUCAGCCAUGGCCCGUGCCAAGGAAUGAACUGCCUGCAGGACGCCCUCCUGCAGUAAGACGAGGCACGUCAGUCACCCAAGGCACUCGUUGAUUCUGUGGGGGUUCACAAGUGAAACAAAACUUGCCUUGAGGUGGACGUC